rnacentral:tRNA from 1 species
GGUGUAGCUCAGUUGGUAGAGCAGCGGUCUCCAAAACCGCCGGUCGUGAGUUCGAGUCUUACCA